GAUGAAGAACGCAGCGAAAUGCGAUAAGUAAUGUGAAUUGCAGAAUUCAGUGAAUCAUCGAAUCUUUGAACGCACCUUGCGCCCUUUGGCCAUUCCGAAGGGCAUGCCUGUUCGAGCGUCAUUAUAACCCCUCAAGCUCAGCUUGGUGUUGGGGCCUGCUGCACUGGCAGCCCUUAAAAUCAGUGGCGGCGCCAUCUGGCUCUAAGCGUAGUAAUUCUUCUCGCUAUGGAGUCCUGGUGGAUGCUUGCCAUCAACCCCCAAUUUUUCUAUGGUUGACCUCGGAUCAGGUAGGGAUACCCGCUGAACUUAAGCAUAUCAAUAAGCGGAGGA
rnacentral:misc_RNA from 1 species